UACGUAGGGUGCGAGCGUUAAUCGGAAUUACUGGGCGUAAAGGGCUCGUAGGCGGCCAACUAAGUCAGACGUGAAAUCCCUCGGCUUAACCGGGGAACUGCGUCUGAUACUGGAUGGCUGGAGUUUGGGAGAGGGAUGCGGAAUUCCAGGUGUAGCGGUGAAAUGCGUAGAUAUCUGGAGGAACACCGGUGGCGAAGGCGGCGUUCUGGACUGCUACUGACACUGAUGAACGAAAGCCAGGGGAGCAAACGGG
rnacentral:rRNA from 1 species